rnacentral:ncRNA from 1 species
GAAAGGCCGCGUACAUUCGCCGUCGUCGCGGCUGGGUGUUACCGAGGCACCCCAAUUAGG